rnacentral:rRNA from 1 species
CCUACGGGAGGCAGCAGUGAGGAAUAUUGGUCAAUGGGCUUACGCCUGAACCAGCCAAGUCGCGUGAGGGAAGACUGCCCUAUGGGUUGUAAACCUCUUUUGUCAGGGAGCAACGCCGGCUACGUGUAGCCGGACUGGGAGUACCUGAAGAAAAAGCAGCGGCUAACUCCGUGGCAGCAGCCGCGGUAAUACGGGGGAUGCGAGGGUGAUCCGGAUUUAUUGGGUUUAAAGGGGACGUAGGCGGAAUGCCAAGUCAGCGGUAAAAUCGCGGGGGUCAACCUCGCUCCGCCGUUGAAACUGGCGUUCUUGAGUGGGCGAGAAGUAUGCGGAAUGCGGGGUGUAGCGGUGAAAUGUAUAGAGAUCACGCAGA